CCACUGCUGACGAGUCCCAAACAGAACGAAACAGCUGUCCAGUUC
rfam:Echinostoma caproni strain Egypt genome assembly, scaffold: ECPE_scaffold0009479